GGUAUUUUGACUAUACGAAGGUAUUGAAAUAAGGUUUUAAAUGGGCGCUAAGAGAAUGAUUUAACGAUUAUAAGCUUUCUUUAUUUAAAAAAUUGAAUUUAAUUUUUUUGUGAGGAAGCAAACAUUGAUUUUAGGGACAAGAAGACCCUAUGAAUUUUGAAUUUAAUUUAUAUUUUUUAAUAUAUAUUAAAUUUGGUUGGGGUGACAGAAAAAGAAUAAGUAUCUUUAUUUAAAAUAAAUAAGUUCCGUUAUUAACGAUUAAAUGAGGAAAAUACUCUAGGGAUAACAGCGUAAUAAUUUUGGAGAGUUCUUAUUGAUAAAAUAGUUUGCGACCUCGAUGUUGGAUUAGGAUUCUUUUUUGGCGAAGAAGUUAAAAAAAUAAGUUUGUUCAACUUUUAAAUUCCU
rnacentral:rRNA from 1 species